UCUCUCCCUUUCUCUCUCACGCACGCCCCUCCCCCAUUUUUUUUCUUUCUUUUUCUUCUCUUCUUUCCCUAUACCCUACCUCCAGCCGCCCACCCCAAUCCCUUCCUCUUCUCUUUUCUUCCUCUUCUGUUCGACACCGACCGUCAGACGAAGCCGGCAGCCAUGCACUUCAACUUGCAGCCAUCUUCCAAAUGCGUCGCCUCUCCGUCCACCUGAAACUGCUGCUCGUCCAGAUCUGUGAAGCUGCCACCAUCCUUUCUUUUCCGUUCACCGAAGCUGAAACCCAGUCGUCGUCCUUCUUUCCUUUUCGCUCAUCCGCCAACCACCAUCACCGCCCAAAUCUCCUCGUCCUGCCGUCGCCGCUGCACUAUUCGCCUGAAGUCAUCCUCCAUCCAGGUUGCGAAGCCGCCACGCUACUCCUCUGCGUUGUUCCUUCCACCUCCGCACGCACUACAACCGAACCGUUCGUUCCCCCAUAGAAACCUCCUGUGAGCCACGCGUCGCUCCUCCAAGCCGGCUUGCACUCCACUUUGUUGCACGAUCUUUUCGUCUAGGUUCAAUAACUACUGCCUCUUUUCUACUGUAAAAUCGAAGUUGUUUUGCUGGUAACAAAUUGAGUUUCGGUUAUGAUUAUUUCAAACUUUUUCAAACGUUACGGUUGGGAUAAUUGGCUAAAUUGUUAAUGUAUUCUUGAAGGUGUUGGAAGUAAUGUUGGGUCCCCUGUAUUCAUAACCAAAAUUGUGAAUUUUGGAGUUCGGCUUGCCAAUACUUGGUAUCUUUAGUUGGAUAUAGUUUAUUCGAGAAAUUGAGUUACCUUGAGGUAAGGGUUUCUCUGCUACUGGACUCAACCACCGUUAUUUAUAUAUGUAUUGAUGUGUAUAUACAUAAAUUGACGUAGACUUGGUGUCGAAUGCAUAUGGAGAUUGUCUGUAAGCAGGACUAGAUUGUGUUGUAUAUAAUUUUGGAUGUGAACUUGUGACUUUGAUUCGACUGGGUGUAGGUUGUACUAAUGUGUGGCUUGUACUGGUGAACUGAGGGGCGUUAUGACUUUGUGGUUUGAUUGACUGAUGUAUUAAACUGUUACCAAUGGUCUCUGGACUAAAGUGAGAUAGGUUGACUGUUAGAACGUUAAGUGAGAUAACUAUAUAUGUUGAAGUAGUUGAACGGUGUUAUAAAUGACUGUUAAGAGGUUUAGAAUGGACGGAGGGAAAAAUUGUUAGCUUUUAUUGGGAUGUGUGCCUUGUAGGUGUCCUAUGGGAUUAUCAAUUAUUAUGCAUCCUUCGGAAGCAUUAGACUGAUAUGUGUUUCUGCAGAACACUAGACCGAAAUGUACGCCCCUUGAGACGUUAGACAUAUCCUACGGGAUCACAAGACUGUGACUGUGCAGGGUAUCCUAAUAGGACGUUAACAACUUAUUUUUCCCUAACGGGACCAGUAGCGGGUCUCUUACUGAGUAUCUUUAUAUUCACCCCUUUAUGUUUAAUUUUUCAGGCAAAGGUAACAAGAGUGGGAAGUGUGAUUACCAUAGGGAACAUCUUUAUUUUUCUUCAACAUUAUGUUGGAACAUAGUUUACGAACUAUUACUUUGGUAAACAGUGCUUUUAAAAUUGUAGUUGUUUGAAA